UUUGUAUUUAUUUUCUCUCAUAGUAAAGCUUGCAUGCUCCAUGGAGGUAAACCUUGGACUGAUCCACGUAUUUGACUGUAUUCUUUUUCUUAUUUAUCUUCUUCCUUCUUGUUGCCAUAUCAACAUCGUUACCUGCGUUAGCGAUCUUGGGCGGGGGAUCCGUAUUUCGCACUCAUGAGGAAUUCUUUCCAAUAAGUGAUAUCAGAGUACAUGGUUGUCCAGAUUACGUUGGUGUUGAUCGAGAUUGAAGAAGAUAAAGAAUACGAGCUCAAUCAAGAUGGAGAUCAACCGGUAUGAUGGAAAGAGCAAUUUCUCUCUAUGACAAUGAGGAUGAAGGAUGUGCUCAUCCAGCAAGGAUUAAUUGAUGCUUCUUUAUGCGAGAAGCCGACUUCCAUAAAGGAAAAAAGUUGGAAGCAACUCCAGAUGCAAACGGUGAGUAUG
rnacentral:lncRNA from 1 species